GACGAACGCUGGCGGCGUGCUUAACACAUGCAAGUCGAACGGGUCUGCCCUGUUUUUUGCGGGGUGGGUCAGUGGCGAACGGGUGAGUAACACGUGAGUAACCUGCCCCUCACUUCUGGAUAACCGCUUGAAAGGGUGGCUAAUACGGGGUGUUCUGGCUGUGCCGCAUGGUGUGGCUGGGAAAGAUUCACUUUUGUGGUGUUUUGGUGGGGGAUGGGCUCGCGGCCUAUCAGCUUGUUGGUGGGGUGAUGGCCUGCCAAGGCUUUGACGGGUAGCCGGCCUGAGAGGGUGGGCGGUCACACUGGGACUGAGAUACGGCCCAGACUCCUGCGGGAGGCAGCAGUGGGGGGUAUUGCACAAUGGGCGGAAGCCUGAUGCAGCGACGUCGCGUGAGGGAUGGAGGCCUGCGGGUUGUGAACCUCUUUCGCCGGUGAAGAGGGUCCUGCUCUUUGUGGUGGGGUUGACGGUAGCCGGGUUAUGAAGCGCCGGCUAACUACGUG
rnacentral:rRNA from 1 species